rnacentral:rRNA from 1 species
AUACGUAGGUGGCAAGCGUUGUCCGGAAUUAUUGGGUGUAAAGCGCGCGCAGGCGGUCCUUUAAGUCUGAUGUGAAAGCCCACGGCUCAACCGUGGAGGGUCAUUGGAAACUGGGGGACUUGAGUGCAGAAGAGGAAAGUGGAAUUCCAAGUGUAGCGGUGAAAUGCGUAGAGAUUUGGAGGAACACCAGUGGCGAAGGCGACUUUCUGGUCUGUAACUGACGCUGAGGCGCGAAAGCGUGGGGAGCAAACAGGAUUAGAUACCCUGGUAGUCCACGCCGUAAACGAUGAGUGCUAAGUGUUAGGGGGUUUCCGCCCCUUAGUGCUGCAGCUAACGCAUUAAGCACUCCGCCUGGGGAGUACGGUCGCAAGACUGAAACUCAAAGGAAUUGGCGGGG